CGACGAUGCGUAGGGGUUCUGAGAGGAAGGCCCCCCACACUGGAACUGAGACACGGUCCAGACUCCUACGGGAGGCAGCAGUGAGGAAUAUUGGUCAAUGGGCGGAAGCCUGAACCAGCCAAGUCGCGUGAGGGAAUAAGGCCCUACGGGUCGUAAACCUCUUUUGCCGGGGAGCAAGGGCCGGGACGCGUCCCGGCCCGGAGAGUACCCGGAGAAAAAGCAUCGGCUAACUCCGUGCCAGCAGCCGCGGUAAUACGGAGGAUGCGAGCGUUAUCCGGAUUUAUUGGGUUUAAAGGGUGCGUAGGCGGGCUUUUAAGUCAGCGGUAAAAAUUCGGGGCUCAACCCCGUCCGGCCGUUGAAACUGGGGGCCUUGAGUGGGCGAGAAGAAGGCGGAAUGCGUGGUGUAGCGGUGAAAUGCAUAGAUAUCACGCAGAACCCCGAUUGCGAAGGCAGCCUUCCGGCGCCCUACUGACGCUGAGGCACGAAAGUGCGGGAAUGGAACAGGAUUAGAUACCCUGGUAGUCCGCACAGC
rnacentral:rRNA from 1 species